GCAUGGCCUUAUUGAUAUUCUUACCACAAUCGAACCUAAACCACUUGCUAAUUAUCAGGAAGACACUUUUUUUUUUUCAUCAAAGACUAUUAUUUCAGAAGCUCCUAGUAAUACAUUUUGCAGGGAAAAAAACAUCUCUGUAGUUGGGUGGCUAAUAGCACAUGAAUUUUUCCAAGGCAGUUCUAUUGUGUGGGGUGGAUAUCAUAAAGAAUUGUUCAGCAGUCAACGAUUAUUCUUACUGCUACUGAGGCUGAAAGGCUAUAAAGCAUCACAGUGCAUGAGUGUUUGAAUGGAAAUUGUUCUCAACACUGAAGAGGAACAUAAAAUCUGGAUUUGAAAUAUGCCACUUGCACCUGGAGGCAAGACGUGCGAGAUGGAUACAGUGCACCAUCACAAUCACAAAACCCUGCAGUGAGUCAAACACGGCAAAGAGGAUCUGAAACAGGAUGGAGCGUUUGUCUGUCAUGGCCAGCACUGCAGACAUCCAGGUCAACGCCAGCAGAGGCGCAGCAGAAACAGCCAACAUGUGGGUGUUUCAAGGAUUUUCAUCUUGGACUGAUUCUGCCAAAGAAAUACGAUGCCAUGUCGCUCCUGAGAGGGAUCUGACCUCUUUAUGUUUAUGCUUCUAAUUUUCUCUCAACAGCAGGAAAAGGGGGUCUAAAUCUCCAUAUGGAAAAAAAAAUUCAAAGGAUGUGAAUAUUUUACAGGGAUGUUAUAAGUGGGAAUCUUUGUAAUAAGAAAAAAUGGAGGUACUAACGAGAGUGUGCUGUCAUACCCUGCUCGAUGCUUCAACUUCUUGUCCAGAAUGCCAUCUCUGGACACUAAUUUAUUAAACACCAGGAUGCCGAUCACCAUGUUGACCUAUGAGAAGGAAGAAAUACAGGAGUUAAGUUUUUCAAUUGCUCAAAUGCAACAAGCUUAUUUGAAAACAAAUGUUAAAUGUAUCAUUGGAUAUUACAGUAGGACAUUCUCCAUGGGAAUACAUGAUUAAUGCCAUUAGCUUAGAGGCACUUUUUUCUCAAUUUUCCAUCUGGGCUGAGCUUUGACCUCUGGCUUUGUACUGUUUGCUCAUCACUGUGACAUUUCAGCCAAUGGAUGAGGCAUACCCUGCACACUCAGCCCAACACAACAGCCUGAAGGAAGGAUCUGCCUGACAAGAAUCACUUGUCUUUUCAAAGGCACCUUUUUCAUAGUCUUAGCAGUCCCUGCACUAAUGGAAAGCUGAGGCAGAUGACGCUGGGAAGAAAAUUAUUUCAAUAUUAUCAUCUGUAUCAAAUCCCCCAAGCUAAGAGAAAAGAACGCAUCAAGUAUUUAUGGAAAUACAUUUUGGUAACCUUUAUUUAACAGGCCUUGUCACUUUGAAACAGUUGUACUGUAUGAUU